AUUGAACGCUGGCGGCAUGCCUUACACAUGCAAGUCGAACGGCAGCACGGGAGCAAUCCUGGUGGCGAGUGGCGAACGGGUGAGUAAUAUAUCGGAACGUGCCCAGUCGUGGGGGAUAACGUAGCGAAAGCUACGCUAAUACCGCAUACGAUCUAUGGAUGAAAUCGGGGGAUCGCAAGACCUCGCGCGAUUGGAGCGGCCGAUAUCAGAUUAGGUAGUUGGUGAGGUAAAGGCACACCAAGCCGACGAUCUGUAGCUGGUCUGAGAGGACGACCAGCCACACUGGGACUGAUACACGGCCCAGACUCCUACGGGAGGCAGCAGUGGGGAAUUUUGGACAAUGGGCGCAAGCCUGAUCCAGCAAUGCCGCGUGCAGGAUGAAGGCCUUCGGGUUGUAAACUGCUUUUGUACGGAGCGAAAAGGCUUCCACUAAUACUGGGGGCUCAUGACGGUACCGUAAGAAUAAGCACCGGCUAACUACGUGCCAGCCGCCGCUGUAAUAC
rnacentral:rRNA from 1 species